UACGUAGGGUGCGAGCGUUGUCCGGAAUUAUUGGGCGUAAAGAGCUCGUAGGCGGUCUGUCGCGUCGAUCGUGAAAACUUGGGGCUUAACCCUGAGCUUGCGGUCGAUACGGGCAUGACUGGAGUUCGGCAGGGGAGACUGGAAUUCCUGGUGUAGCGGUGAAAUGCGCAGAUAUCAGGAGGAACACCGGUGGCGAAGGCGGGACUCUGGGCCGAUACUGACGCUGAGGAGCGAAAGCUAGGGUAGCAAACGGG
rnacentral:rRNA from 1 species